AUGACCUGGGCUCUUCUCCUGCUCAGCCUCCUUAGUCAGGGCCCAGGGAUCUGGGCCCAGUCAGCUCUGACUCAGCCUCUAUCAGUGUCUGGGACUCCAGGACAGACAGUCACCAUCUCCUGUACAGGAACCAGCAAUGACAUUGGGAGAUAUGACCGUGUCUCCUGGUACCAGCAGCAGGAGGGCACAGCCCCUAAAAUGCUGAUUUAUAAUGUCAACUAUCGGCCAUCUGAUAUCUCUGAUCGCUUCUCUGGCUCCAAGUCUGGCAACACAGCGACCCUGACCAUCUCUGGGCUCAGGCCUGAGGAUGAGGCUGAUUACUACUGUUGCUCACUCAGGAGUGGUAGCACACGCACAGUGGUUCAUUCUCAUAGGGAAUACAUCAAGAUCACUAACUGCAAAGAAAUGUACUGGGGCAAGCAGAAGGAUGUUCAUCAGCUGAGAAUGAGCUUCAGGUGGACUAGUGGACUCAAGGGUCUGUAUUGA